GGAAUCUUCCACAAUGGGCGCAAGCCUGAUGGAGCAACACCGCGUGAGUGAAGAAGGGUUUCGGCUCGUAAAGCUCUGUUGUUAGAGAAGAACGUGCGUGAGAGUACCUGUUCACGCAGUGACGGUAUCUAACCAGAAAGUCACGGCUAACUACGUGCCAGCAGCCGCGGUAAUACGUAGGUGGCAAGCGUUAUCCGGAUUUAUUGGGCGUAAAGCGAGCGCAGGCGGUUUGAUAAGUCUGAUGUGAAAGCCUUUGGCUUAACCAAAGAAGUGCAUCGGAAACUGUCAGACUUGAGUGCAGAAGAGGACAGUGGAACUCCAUGUGUAGCGGUAAAAUGCGUAAAUAUAUGGAAGAACACCAGUGGCGAAGGCGGCUUGCUAGGUCAAUACUGACAUUGAGGCACGAAAGCGUGGGGAGCAAACA
rnacentral:rRNA from 1 species